ACAGCAGCCGCCCGGUAAUACGAAGGGGGCUAGCGUUGCUCGGAAUUACUGGGCGUAAAGGGAGCGUAGGCGGACAUUUAAGUCAGGGGUGAAAUCCCAGAGCUCAACUCUGGAACUGCCUUUGAUACUGGGUGUCUUGAGUGUGAUAGAGGUAUGUGGAACUCCGAGUGUAGAGGUGAAAUUCGUAGAUAUUCGGAAGAACACCAGUGGCGAAGGCGACAUACUGGAUCAUUACUGACGCUGAGGCUCGAAAGCGUGGGGAGCAAACAGGAUUAGAUACCCCCGUAGUCCCUGUCUCUUAUACA
rnacentral:rRNA from 1 species